rnacentral:rRNA from 1 species
AGCAGCCGCCACGGUAAUACGGAGGGUGCAAGCGUUAAUCGGAAUUACUGGGCGUAAAGCGCACGCAGGCGGUCUGACAAGUCAGAUGUGAAAUCCCCGGGCUUAACCUGGGAACUGCAUUUGAAACUGUCAGGCUGGAGUCUUGUAGAGGGGGGUGGAAUUCCAGGUGUAGCGGUGAAAUGCGUAGAGAUCUGGAGGAAUACCGGUGGCGAAGGCGGCCCCCUGGACAAAGACUGACGCUCAGGUGCGAAAGCGUGGGGAGCAAACAGGAUUAGAUACCCCGGUAGUCCCUGUCUCUUAUAC